GUUAUUUAGGCUUAAAGCUGCCAGAGAGAGUGUGGCCAGCCUCGCUAAAUUCCUGGGGCCUCGGGCUCAGUCCUGCUGGAAGGUUGGGGUUAUUAUCUCUGCCAGAAGCCAGAAGAGGAAACUGCAGUUUAAAGAGGUUUGGAAAGCAUCCUCAGAUCACUGAGUAAAAAGGUCUCAUUUUGUAGCCUGUGUUGGCUUCGAACUACAGAUCCCUCUGCUUCAGCCUACCUCGCUGCUGAAAUGACCAGUGUGUAUCUCCAAGCACAGAUCCUGUAUGCUUAGGUCUCCUAGAUUUCUUACAAUGCCUAAUACAAGCGACUUCUGGCCUGUGCUGCCCAGGAGGAAAGACUCGGAAGGGGAGGCUGGUAGAGCAGGGCUCUGGAUGCUGCCUGGCCUGAUCAGCGUCCCUGCUGCUCCUACACACUGUCCCAGGCACAGGAGACCUGGCAGAGGGGAGAAAGCACUAAACUCAGAGCCUGCCCUCCUGGAUUUCAGACCCUUCCAUUCUUCGAGGUGUUGCCCUGGAUAGGUCUCCAGGCCUCUGUGAGUCCUAGCACCUCCUCUUUCAUCUCCAGCCCCACCCCAGAG
rnacentral:lncRNA from 1 species